rnacentral:lncRNA from 1 species
GAAGGUUGGGGUGGAUGGAGAGAUCCUCUCCAUCAUCAGAAGCCCCCUCUUCACCCCGAAAGAGUGGUACAAAACCUUGGUGGGGCUCAAUGGUGUAGUUUACCAUCCAAACGGCUACUUACUUGUCAUUCACACCUUCUCUGGGAACCUGUUGAAGAUUGAGAUAGAGAAAGAAGAAGUUAAGCUAGUUAAGGUAGGUGGAGGUAAACUGGUGUUUGGAGAUGGGUUAGAGCUAAUAUCUCCAACUAAGCUUGUGGUUGCCGGGAACCCUUCUGGGAGAUUGGUCGAGAGCUCCGACGAAUGGGAGACGGCCACCGUCACUGCCAAGUACUCUGGACCGGCACAUCGGUUGGCAACUGCAGCAACUGUGAAGGAUGGGAAGGUAUACCUAAAUCACCUGCUUGGAAUGGGAU